rnacentral:rRNA from 1 species
AUUGAACGCUGGCGGCAUGCUUUACACAUGCAAGUCGAACGGUAACAGGCCGCAAGGUGCUGACGAGUGGCGAACGGGUGAGUAAUGCAUCGGAACGUGCCCAGUCGUGGGGGAUAACGCAGCGAAAGCUGCGCUAAUACCGCAUACGAUCUAUGGAUGAAAGCGGGGGACCGUAAGGCCUCGCGCGAUUGGAGCGGCCGAUGUCAGAUUAGGUAGUUGGUGGGGUAAAGGCUCACCAAGCCAACGAUCUGUAGCUGGUCUGAGAGGACGACCAGCCACACUGGGACUGGGACACGGCCCAGACUCCUACGGGAGGCAGCAGUGGGGAAUUUUGGACAAUGGGCGCAAGCCGGAUCCAGCAAUGCCGCGUGCAGGAAGAAGGCCUUCGGGUUGUAAACUGCUUUUGUACGGAACGAAACGGCUCUGGUUAAUACCUGGGGCUAAUGACGGUACCGUAAGAAUAAGCACCGGCUAACUACGUGCCAGCCGCCGCCGUAA